rnacentral:rRNA from 1 species
UAACCUGCCCAAGAGACUGGGAUAACACCUGGAAACAGAUGCUAAUACCGGAUAACAACACUAGACGCAUGUCUAGAGUUUAAAAGAUGGUUCUGCUAUCACUCUUGGAUGGACCUGCGGUGCAUUAGCUAGUUGGUAAGGUAACGGCUUACCAAGGCAAUGAUGCAUAGCCGAGUUGAGAGACUGAUCGGCCACAUUGGGACUGAGACACGGCCCAAACUCCUACGGGAGGCAGCAGCU